rnacentral:rRNA from 1 species
GUCAAAAACAUACAUAGCCGCUCUGUAAGAGAAAUAUUUUAUUUUUAGUACCUUAUUUACUGAACAAAGUUAGCCGUGUAGAGAGAGAAGUACUGCUAAGGAAACUUUGGAAUCAACUUUAAGAAAAAAUGUUAAAUUGUACCUUGUGUUUAAGGGGUUUUUAAAUUAAUUUGUUAAAUUACACUUCUCGAAGUUUGUAUGAGCUAGGUUAAAGCGUGCUCAAUGUUGCAUAAUUGAGCUGUAAUUUGACUCUAGGUGUAGAUGCUAUUCGUAUUAAAGGAUAUCUAGUUGCUUAAUAAAUCAAUUAAAUUAUAAGGUAAAAUAACAGCUUACUUUCUAUCCUUUUUAAGGGAUAAGCUUUAAAAAGAAUUCUUAUACCUAAAUUUAAUUUGACCUGGGUAAGCUUAAAAUUUGCUAGCCCUUAAGGAUGCUAUAAUUAACGAAAGGUACUUUAUCUAUUUAGUUUAGCGUUCAGUUUUUAUUAAGCUGAAACGAGUAAUGAGAUCUACUAUAAAAAUACUGAAUACAUUAGUAAUUUUAUCUUCAAAAAUACAAAUUGGAACUGGCAAGGAGUCAUUUAAAUUUUAAUUACAGUUAAGGAAUUCAGCAAAAUUAACCUUUGCCUGUUUAGCAAAAACAUGGUCUUUCGAUUUUGAAUGAAAGAUCCAACCUGCCCACUGAUAAUUGAAGGGCUGCAGUAUUUUGACUGUACAAAGGUAGCAUAAUCAAUAGCCUUUUAAUUGAAGGCUGGUAUGAACGGUUAGACAGAGGUUGCCUGUCUCAGCUAUAUUCGUUGAAUUUUUCUUCUUUGUAAAAAGACAAAGAUACAUCAAAGGGACGAAAAGACCCUUUUAAACUUUAAUUAACUUUAUUUGGGUUUGAGCUAUAAUCUAUUUAUGUACAGCUAUAUUUUUGCUGGGGCGGCAGGUAUUAAAACAAUAUCUUUUUUUAAUGGCCAUAGGCAGCGAAACCAUGAACUUAUUUGUUUGAUUAAGAGAAAAAGUUACUGAAGGGAUAACAGCGUAAUACUUCUUGAGAGGCCUUAUUGACAGAAGUGUUUGCGACCUCGAUGUUGGAUUAAGAUACUUUAUCAGUGCAGCAGCUGAGUAAAGGGGUCUGUUCGACCUGUAAAUUCUUACAUGAUCUGAGUUCAAACCGGCGUAAGCCAGGUCGGUUUCUACCUUUUGGGUAGACGUGAGUGAGCCUAGUACGAAAGGACCUGCUCACACAAAGGCUUUUUUAUAGGGGUUUAAUUUAACAUGAAAAUAAACAGACGUUCUAGAA